UGGGGAAUAUUGGACAAUGGGCGCAAGCCUGAUCCAGCCAUGCCGCGUGAGUGAUGAAGGCCCUAGGGUUGUAAAGCUCUUUCACCGGUGAAGAUAAUGACGGUAACCGGAGAAGAAGCCCCGGCUAACUUCGUGCCAGCAGCCGCGGUAAUACGAAGGGGGCUAGCGUUGUUCGGGUUUACGGGGAGUAAAGCGCACGUAGGCGGACUUUUAAGUCAGGGGUGAAAUCCCGGGGCUCAACCCCGGAACUGCCUUUGGUACUGGAAGUCUUGAGUAUGGUAGAGGUGGGUGGAAUUCCGAGUGGAGAGGUGAGAUUCGUAGAUAUUCGAGGGAAAACCAGUGGCGAAGGAGGCUCACUGGACCAUUACUGACGCUGAGGUGCGAAAGCGUGGGGAGCAAACAGG
rnacentral:rRNA from 1 species